rnacentral:rRNA from 1 species
GACAACGCGGGGGGCGUGCUUAACACAUGCAAGUAGAACGCUGAAGGAGGAGCUUGCUUCUCUGGAUGAGUUGCGAACGGGUGAGUAACGCGUAGGUAACCUGCCUGGUAGCGGGGGAUAACUAUUGGAAACGAUAGCUAAUACCGCAUAAGAGUAGAUGUUGCAUGACAUUUGCUUAAAAGGUGCAAUUGCAUCACUACCAGAUGGACCUGCGUUGUAUUAGCUAGUUGGUGGGGUAACGGCUCACCAAGGCGACGAUACAUAGCCGACCUGAGAGGGUGAUUGGCCACACUGGGACUGAGACACGGCCCAGACUCCUACGGGAGGCAGCAGUAGGGAAUCUUCGGCAAUGGACGGAAGUCUGACCGAGCAACGCCGCGUGAGUGAAGAAGGUUUUCGGAUCGUAAAGCUCUGUUGUAAGAGAAGAACGAGUGUGAGAGUGGAAAGUUCACACUGUGACGGUAUCUUACCAGAAAGGGACGGCUAACUACGUGCCAGCAGCCGCGGUAAUACGUAGGUGGCAAGCGUUAUCCGGAUUUAUUGGGCGUAAAGAGAGUGCAGGCGGUUUUCUAAGUCUGAUGUGAAAGCCUUCGGCUUAACCGGAGAAGUGCAUCGGAAACUGGAUAACUUGAGUGCAGAAGAGGGUAGUGGAACUCCAUGUGUAGCGGUGGAAUGCGUAGAUAUAUGGAAGAACACCAGUGGCGAAGGCGGCUACCUGGUCUGCAACUGACGCUGAGACUCGAAAGCAUGGGUAGCGAACAGG